AUAUGUUAAAACACAGUACAGUACUGCACAUGAAAAAUAGCUUAUUGUAGUUUCGCUGCUGCAUCUCCGUGGCUCGUUUAUAGCAGUUUAUCAUAAGCUUCGAUGAGUCGAUCCAUAUUUGUCACUUUUUUCCGUCAUGUUUAAUGCACGCAGCAUUAUCCUCAGGUAGCUACACAGAAGCAGACGGACUACAGCAAGGCAAAGUAGGGCCAUCAAAGUAAAGUUAAAAAACAUAGUUUUAAUUUUUCCAUAUGUUGUCAUGCUUAAAUAGACACUGUAAGCAGACUACUUGACUACUACAAACGAAUUAUUUAAACAGUAUUUCUGCAAAAAUGAUUCUGUCCCAAGUUUUUUGAUACAUAUAGGUGGUUGAUCAUUAUAACCGUGAUCACUAUAAUGAUCACUGUAACUUAACUUUACACCUGUAAAUUAUCGGCAUUGGCUCCAUUGAAAAGUUGCGGACGGUAUGGAAUGGGGUAUACGCACUAUUCCACUUCAGAACAAAUCAGACAUUGAAUGAGACACAUUCAAAUGUAAAGUGAUCAGUGGUGGCAAAAGAGACAGAGGAAGCAAGAGAAAGGCAGGAGAGCAAAGGAGAAAACAUAAGAAAGAAAUGAAAGAAAAAAAGUAUGAAAACCAAAAAGAAAAGAGGGAGAGAGAUGAGAACCACACUGCGGUGGAAGAAGAGAAGGAUGGACACAUGAGACUGAUGGAGAAGGAAACAACUGAAUAAAGCACCAGUGGAGGAGAUAGGACCAGAGCAACAGAGGGAGGAGUUGUAAACUGCACACACAGCAUCAGGAUGAAGGUGUGAGGCGCUCCAAGAUGAAGAGAUUGUACAUCCUGCAUCGAUGGUGAAUUUCGAUCAAAGGCACAAAUGCAUGAAUCCUGAUGAGAUGCCGCUUGAACCAGCUGUGUUCAGGCUACAGGUGCACUGCCCAGCCCUGUUGCUACCUUCCUAGACUAAGCACUGAAGAAAAAAUAUCUUCUAUGCCUGUCGUCAUCUUGGAAGAGUGCAAUGCAGAUCUGUAGCAGUGCCUUUGGCAACACCUAAGCACUCUGUGAAGUACUGGGAUGGAGUUUAUUUUUGCACAGUGCAGGGAGAGCGCCAUCUAGAGGACUUGAGCAUAUAACGCAGACUGGCUCUUGAAGAAGGCGGUCUGAGGCGGUGGGGGUUUGGUGAGAGAGAAUAGGUCUCGGUCCUACUAUAGUCCACAGUCAUUGACUGGGAAUGUUGCUUAAGGAGAGUUCUGAAUAAUUGCUGAUGAAAAUAUUGCAUGUUUUUACUUUAUUUGUAUUUGUAUUAUUGUAUUAUUAAUGUGUUGCAAUGCUUGUGUUUAUGUCUUUGAGCCCUUGUCCUUAAAAGGUUUUUUUUUUAACUUAAUAAGAAUUUUGUUCUUAGUGACUUGCCUGGAAAAAUCAUGGUUAAAUUAAAAAAUAUUAAAUUGUUUAAA